CACGUAGGGUGCGAGCGUUGUCCGGAAUUAUUGGGCGUAAAGAGCUCGUAGGCGGUGUGUCGCGUCGGCCGUGAAAACCUGCAGCUUAACUGUGGGCUUGCGGUCGAUACGGGCAUCACUGGAGUUCGGCAGGGGAGACUGGAAUUCCUGGUGUAGCGGUGAAAUGCGCAGAUAUCAGGAGGAACACCGGUGGCGAAGGCGGGUCUCUGGGCCGAUACCGACGCUGAGGAGCGAAAGCGUGGGGAGCGAACAGG
rnacentral:rRNA from 1 species